UGGGAUAUGGCUUGGUGGCACAGUGUCUGCCUGGUAAGCACAAGGUUCUGGGUUCAAUUUCCAGUAUUAAAA
rnacentral:tRNA from 1 species